rnacentral:rRNA from 1 species
GCAGGUGUUGUAGCAAAACUCACUACAAAAGAGGGUAAAUCGGCCACUUUAAGAUUACCAUCUGGGGAGGUCCGUUUAGUAUCCCAAAACUGCUUAGCAACAGUCGGACAAGUGGGUAAUGUUGGGGUGAACCAAAAAAGUUUGGGUAGAGCACUUCUUGGAUCUGUCAAUUAUGCUAUGGCCGGAGUCCUACUCAUAGUGAUCUGGUCGAAUUGGGAGAAGUCGUAG